rnacentral:rRNA from 1 species
GAUGAACGCUGGCGGCAUGCCUAAUACAUGCAAGUCGAACGAGAGGAAGGAAAGCUUGCUUUCCUGAAUCUAGUGGCGAAUGGGUGAGUAACACGUAGGUAACCUGCCCAUGUGCCCGGGAUAACUUCUGGAAACGGAUGCUAAAACCGGAUAGGUAGCAGACAAGCAUUUGACUGCUAUUAAAGUGGCCUUGGCCAUGAACAUGGAUGGACCUGCGGUGCAUUAGCUAGUUGGUAAGGUAACGGCUUACCAAGGCGAUGAUGCAUAGCCGAGUUGAGAGACUGAUCGGCCACAAUGGAACUGAGACACGGUCCAUACUCCUACGGGAGGCAGCAGUAGGGAAUCUUCCACAAUGGGCGCAAGCCUGAUGGAGCAACACCGCGUGAGUGAAGAAGGGUUUCGGCUCGUAAAGCUCUGUUGUUGGAGAAGAACGUGCGUGAGAGUAACUGUUCACGCAGUGACGGUAUCCAACC